UCCCAAACAGCCUGAUCUGCAGAGAUUGGAUAAACCUGUCAACGGUGACCAGCUGUGAGGUCCAACCAUUAGCUCUGAGGACGGCUCUACUUCUGGGCAAAAUAUGGCCAAGCUCCAAGGGGGUCUGAGAAGUCAUGUAGGGCAACUCCCUAAUUUUACAGAAUAACCGAGGAACAGAGAAGGGGAUGGGUGAGGGCAGACUUCUCCCAAGUCACACGAAGCAUUAUUGGAAUAGGGAACUUUUCAAGGUGGAGAAGCCCCUAAGGGAGUAUCAAUACCAUUGCAAGCAUCUCCAGAAGUCUUCAGAACAGCUCGAUCACACCUUCCUCUUGGCCUUGUCAGACGAAGUGUCAGGAGAAAUCGAUGAUGUCAUGGGGCAUGUUGGAUGGACUUCCUGUGGCGGACUUAUGGGAGGAUCUGGACAGAGGAGAGAAAGGCAUGGAUGCUACCGUACAUAGCAAGCUGUA